ACCCUGGGGGGUACCAUAAGUAACUAAAAAAAAUUAGAGAGUCUUAUCGGUGAAAACUUUCAUAGGCAUCAUGAGACGAAAAAAUAAUAAUAAAAUCUUAUAGGUGAAAAUCCAACGGUCACCUUAAGAUAAAGGGAGAGAACAUCAUGAAUAAAAUCUGCAAAGAUGAUCAUUUCUCGACACCUCUGCAUAAAAGUUACAUAGAUCAAUUGACGAUGACUCAGAUUUUGAGAACUAAAAAACUCAAACGGAUCAGGGGGCAAGUCCAAGUGCAUGUCAUGGUUCAAUCAAAGUCGACAUAUGCCUCCAGAUAAGUUCUCUUUCUCAUUUUCAAAGGAAUAUCCUUCAUUAAGUUUAUAGUCUUCUUGAUCCAAUCUUUGAUACUCUUGAGUUUGACAUUUGUUUUUUUCUCUUUUCGAUAUAUUCUAUUCACAAAAUAAAGUAAAGAGUGCAAAGCUUACUAUGGGUUCCCAAAAGUAAAGUUGAGUAUCUGAGUUGACAAGCCAUCAAGCAAGGACUAAAAAACAAAAUCUUCACUGAAAAUUCAUGAAGGUCAUCAUUGUUUGGGACAUCACUCGCACCAUGAUAGUUGGUAGUACCAAAAGAUCAAGGCUCCUGAUAACAAAGAGGGAGCUUCAAAGGUUGCUUAACCAAGGAGUUAGAUUAGAGUUAGAGAAAUUGGUCGUGAGUAUGGUCAAUUCGUUGGAGAACCAAGGCCACAAACCAACCACCACUUUAAACUAACAAUUUUCUCUUACAUUUGCUCAACACAGAAACAAAAAAGAAAUGCAGGGUUACAAGUCAAAAAGGAAACAUCACAAAAAAAAAAAGAUCUCCAAAGUCUUCAAAUGUUUGGUGUUUCAUCUCAUGCUACUCGCAUUUUUUCCUAUCAAUGCGAGAGUUUCGGGAAAUAUGCUCCAAUCUGAAUUACAUGCAAUACGUGCACGUCCUUUAUUCAUGGGCAAUACGCACCAUCCUUUGUUCAUGUGCAAUACGCACCUCUCUGAAUUUCGUGCAAUACGAACCAAUUUGAAUUCCGUGCAACAAGCACACAUCCUUUAUUCAUGGGCAAUACGCAUCAUCCUGUGUUCAUGUGCAAUACUCACCAGUCUAAAUUCUAUGCAAUACGCACCAAUUGGAAAUUAUGUGCAAUAUGCAUCAAUAUGAAUUUUGUGCAAUAGACACACAAUCCUUUAUUCAUGGGCAAUACGCACCAUCCUUUGUUCAUGUGCAAUACGCACCUGUCUGAAUUUCAUGCAAUACGAACCAAUCUGAAUUUCGUGCAACAAGCACACAUCCUUUAUUCAUGGGCAAUAUGCACCAUCUUGUGUUCAUGUGCAAUACGCACCAGUCUGAAUUUCGUACGAUACGCAUCAAUCUGAAUUUAUGUGUAGUGCGCAGCAGUCCUUAUUCACAUGCAAUCCAGAUCAUUUCUCUAUUCAUGGGCAAUACGCACCAUAUGCAUAUUUGGAGCAAUGCGCACUAACAUUCAUAGGUUAUACACACCCUAUUCGCAUUUUGGGGAUUCAUCCAAUCAUAGGACAAUGCAUCUUAUUUGGAACUCUCGGGGUAACAUGCCUCACUUAACCUAUUCAUUCUAGGGUUAUACUUUCUAGUUCAAGAUUCUCAUUUGUUUUCUUCUUUUAUAAAGGAAACAUAUUCUUCAUGGGUUCUUCAUUUUAUGAUCUUGAGUGUUGAGUUUCAACAACCAACUCAAGUUAAAACAUGCACUUAAGAAUGACCCACCAGCCGCCAAGACAACAUGAAGAUCGAUCUCAAAGAUAAUGCACGGAGCAAGUGAAAGAUCUAGACAAGAUCCUAAGAAGAUACAUCAAUUAGGGAUCUUGUAACAUUUAUAAGUAGAGAUACAUAGUUCUCUAACUCUUUUCAUUGUAACUAUAGGCAGUAGAUGAUGACAAGCAAUAUGAAGCAAUCUUUUGGCCACGCUUCUGAUAGUUUCGGUUAUCAAAGUUACUCGAACUACACUGAUCUGAUUUCCUUUUAAUCAAGGAUAUGUAGGCAACCUCUGAAGCAAGAUUCGGUCAUCUUUUACAAAAUGGACUCAUCGGAGUUUGAAAAAGUCAAAAAUUAGCCACUUCGUUCACUUUCUUUGCUUGAAAACUCUUCAUGUUUCCAAGCAAAGAGGGGCAUGUUGUGAACACCUAAUUUUUAACGUGUUUAUUUUACUCCUAUAAUAUUUUAGUAAGGAAUUUUAUUUUUAUUAUUUUAUUGGCUCAAAUGACCCAAUUUUAUUUAAAUUGUGCUGAUUUAUAUCAAUUCUGAUGGCCUAAUUGAUUUUGACCCGGUCAAUAGAAAUGGUCAAGAUUGAAUCUCAAUCAUUCAUAAUAUUUUGAUCCACGAGCUAUUAUUGGACCAAAAAAAAUACAAAAAUCCAAAAAAUUAGCAUUUUUUUUAUUUUUCUUCCUCCCCUUACUACCAUGCCGUCGGCCGGCCACCGCUGCCGCCACCACCUUUUUGGCCGGAAAAAAUCUUUAAAAUUUUACCAUCCUUUCACCCUCCUCUACCUAAAUCUACAAUCGUUUCAUCCAUAUCUAUAGUCAAACUCCGUAGAUCUAAGGGAAAACUAAGUAUGAAUUUUCACUUUUUUCCUUAAAUUUAUAAAGUUCCGGUCAUUUUCCAUCCCAAACCCUUUACAUAAAUGUGUAGAGCUCUUCAAGGGCUAUCAUUUGAUAUAAAUUUUAAGUUCAAAAUCCGUCAAAAAAAUUUCGGGUUUGAGACUACAUAAUUCUCUCUUCAAUUGACGUUUUCAAGAGAAUUACUAGAGGUUCCGCUUCUAAAUCUAAGGAGGAUAUAAGAUGGGGAAAAUGCCUGAAUCCGUCGAUGUGCAAAAUCCCACACAAAUUCAUAACCAUGAAGUUGAAGAAGACCAAUUUGUUGGAGAAGAGGUUUUUUUUUUGCAUGUUUUGUGUCUUGCAUGUUUAGUUUGAUUUGUUUAGUAAUUUUUGAAAUUCAAAAAAAUUCAUGUUACAAUGUGUUUGGAAGUGUAUAUGGAAUUUUUAUUAUGUUAUAGUUAGUACUUAUUUUUGUA